rnacentral:rRNA from 1 species
GGCGCCCCCGAGACGGGGCGAACCACGGUGAAAUGACGGAUCGUCGGCCCCCGCGCCGGCGACUCGCCGAAUGAGUUUCUGACCUAUCAACUCGAGACGGCGGGGUAGAGGCCCGCCGCGGUAACGACGGGUAACGGGGAAUCAGGGUUCGAUUCCGGAGAGGGAGCCCGAGAAACGGCUACCACUUCCAAGGAAGGCAGCAGGCGCGCAACUUACCCUAAUCUCGAUUCGAGGAGGUAGUGACAAGAAAUACCGAUGCGGGACCCUACGGGUGCCGCGUUCGGAAUGAGUACGAUUCGAACCACCUAACGAGGAACGAUCGGAGGGCAAGUCUGGUGCCAGCAGCCGCGGUAAUUCCAGCUCCAAUAGCGUACGUUAAAGCUGCUGCUCAGAGAAAUGAUCAGAGUGACCGCGUACAGGCUCAUGGGCACGAGGAAGAGGAGGAGCCGCAGGUCGGAGACGGAGAACCGGGACACGCUGUAAGCGAUCGCCGUGAACGACAGUGCCUGAAGCCACAAGAGCCACCGGCGC